rnacentral:misc_RNA from 1 species
AACAUGUCUAUCCACUGCUGCUUGGCG